CUGGCUCAGAACGAACGCUGGCGGCGUGCUUAACACAUGCAAGUCGAACGCGAAAGGGACUUCGGUCCUGAGUAAAGUGGCGCACGGGUGAGUAACGCGUAGAUAACCUGUCUUCAUGUCUGGAAUAAUACGCCAAAGGGGUACUAAUACCGGAUAUCUUGCUUUUCAUAAGUUAUGCAAGCAAAGGUGGCCUCUGCAUAUGCUACUGCAUGAAGAGGGGUCUGCGUACCAUUAGCUAGUAGGUGGGGUAAUGGCCUACCUAGGCGACGAUGGUUAGCGGGUCUGAGAGGAUGAUCCGCCACACUGGCACUGGAACACGGGCCAGACUCCUACGGGAGGCAGCAGUGAGGAAUAUUGCGCAAUGGGGGAAACCCUGACGCAGCGACGCCGCGUGAAGUGAGGAAGGCCUUCGGGUCGUAAAGCUCUGUCAAGAGGAAAGAAGUGUACAAUGGCUAAUACCUGUUGUAUUUGACGGUACCUCUAAAGGAAGCACCGGCUAACUCCGUGCCAGCAGCCGC
rnacentral:rRNA from 1 species